GCGGUUGCUUGGGCCAGAAGGUUCUCUGGUGGAGGCGCUCUUCCUGGUGUCCCGCCCAGUAGGUUCGUUCGCACCGUUUCUUCCACACCCUUUCUCCCUCCUUCUCCUCGCCCCGCCUUCCCCUCUUCUCAACCCCUCUAGUUCCUUCCCCGCCUCGCCACUGUCCACGAUCUCGCGAGACUUGGCCCAGAACAUUGCGGAUCGGGUCGGCGCCAUUUUGGGACUGAGACUGGUUGUGGGGGAGGGAAAAGCGGCAAAAGGGGAUUAUUCAAAGUACCGAAAACCUUCUCCCGGGAUCAGGCGCGUCGACACCCCCAGGCCAGGGGCACCUCUGGUGGGGCAGAAGGUGAAUGAAUUACUCAGAUACGAAGAUCAUCUUCUAGGUUUUGUGUAGAAGGCCCCGGAUAUUUUAAGUGGCCAUUUUGGAUUUACAAUGUUUUUGGAUAAUUUUGCCCCAGAAGUUUAUUAAAAUUGGCAAGAAUCGUCUAUGAAGUGAAUUGAUAGUAGUGAACAAUUCAGCAAGCUACUUAAAAAGAGACCCAGGCAGCAUUUCUUCAGUAUUUUGGUUCAAACGGAUUAUAUAACUGGUUACAGUAUUUCAGCUGGUGGUAAUUUUUGCCUUCCCCCUCCCCCACCCCGUUGUUGGGGUUGUUCAGCCGAAACUGAGAGACGUUGAUUUGUGUACUGAGUAGUUUCAGCAGUUUCAAAUGACUGAGUAUUGCUGAAGUUUCAUGGCAGGUUAUUUUUACCUUUAUUGAAAGUUUUAGGAAUUUUUGACUUCAGCUCUUUCGUGUUACAAUGGGACACUUUUUCUAAAUGAAAAUAUUGAAAGAAUACCGAAUUUUUUUCCUUUUAUCUUUUAUUUACGUAGAAAUUUAAGAUGUUGCAGUUUCCCGGCAGCAUGGUAGUGUUGAGAUAGCUAUGUGUGUCUCUGUAUAUGCUGAUAUUUAGGAAUGCUCUUCAGAUGUGAAAUUUUCUUUUUGUUUUUGCUUUUUGGCUCGUAAAUUGGAUAUUUCAUCUGGAGUGGACAAGUACAACAGUGGCAAGUACAUGGAAUAAUAAAGAAGACUUUGAUCUUAAAUCUAAAGAACUU
rnacentral:lncRNA from 1 species